rnacentral:lncRNA from 1 species
CGUCAGUGGAGGAGGAGAGAGAGUGUAGAGUGACACACAGCAUUUGAUUUGAUUUUAGCUGACGGUGCUGGGCAGGAGUGCUAAUGGAGGGAGGGACAGAGGUGUACAACAGAAGGACAGUCUCUGAAGUGUCCUACCAAAGAGGAAUACCAGUACUCAACCUGGACUAAAGAAUAAUACAGUACAACAACAACCCAUGUGUUCUCUUUGGAAGGAGGAAUUCACCAAUCACUAAAUGGGAUCUGCACUAAAGAGCAAUAGAGGGACCAUGUAAUACUUGACCUUAUUUGAGGAACAUCUAGCCACCAUGUUAGAACUAGUCUGAAGCAUUCAGAAGGACCGGUACAACAUCUACCCGUCAUCAGCUCUACCAGGAUGGGUCCACAUUGAAGGAGAUCUGAACCCCUGGAUCUCUUCACCAAAGAGGAAUAACACCAGGCUUCUCACCAUG